rnacentral:rRNA from 1 species
GAUGAACGCUAGCGGCAGGCCUAACACAUGCAAGUCGAGGGGUAGAGUUCUUCGGGACUUGAGACCGGCGCACGGGUGCGUAACGCGUAUGCAAUCUACCUUAUACAGGGGAAUAGCCCAGAGAAAUUUGGAUUAAUGCCCCAUAGUGUUAUCGAAUCGCAUGGUUUGAUAACUAAAGUUCCAACGGUAUAAGAUGAGCAUGCGUCCCAUUAGUUAGUUGGUAAGGUAACGGCUUACCAAGACAAUGAAUGGGUAGGGGUCCUGAGAGGGAGAUCCCCCACACUGGUACUGAGACACGGACCAGACUCCUACGGGAGGCAGCAGUGAGGAAUAUUGGUCAAUGGGCGCAAGCCUGAACCAGCCAUGCCGCGUGCAGGAAGACGGUCCAUGGAUUGUAAACUGCUUUUAUACAGGAAGAAACCCUCCACGUNUGGGAGCUUGACGGUACUGUAGGAAU